GUUUUUGAAUGAAUAGGCGGGGAUUGAAAAUCCGCGUGUCGCUGGUUCGAUUCCGGCUCUGGGCACCA
rnacentral:tRNA from 1 species